UGCCAAGGCCUCAGAGAACUUACCGAGGCCUGGGGGAUCUACCGACGCCUCAGGUCACCUGCUGCUACCCUUGUGAGACUGCCACCCCUUGUGAGACUGGCCUUCCCCCUUAUGUCUUUAAAAAGAAAUAACAUGGGUGCAUGACUUGGCCAGGCUCUCUCCACGUUCCCUCCCGCCUGCAGGCAGGCCGACUGAGAACAACACAUGGGGACCCUGGACUCAGACCACUUUCCAGUGCUGCAAAUGUUCCUUCCACUCAUGGAGCCCUGUUUCUAUCACUGCUGCACUGUGGGUGAAAAUCCUAAACCUGGACCUUCUACCAGCCCACUUCUCAACUUUCCGUCAGUCCGUCAGUCCACCGGGACAACUGGUCCAAGAGACACCGGACAGUUCCAUACCACAAACCCUGGACAGGAAUAAAGUGACCAGCUACCCCAGGAUGUGACCAGCACCCAGCUUUCUCAGCCCCCCCCCCAAAGAUGAUGCUGACAAAUAAG